rnacentral:rRNA from 1 species
GAGCAAACGGGAUUAGAUACCCCGGUAGUCCACGCUGUAAACGAUGGAUACUAGGUGUAGCCGGUCUCGACCCCGGCUGUGCCGUAGCUAACGCAAUAAGUAUCCCGCCUGGGGAGUAUGGCCGCAAGGUUGAAACUCAAAGGAAUUGACGGGGGCCCGCACAAGCGGUGGAGGAUGUGGUUUAAUUCGACGCAACGCGAAGAACCUUACCAAGGCUUGACAUCCACUGAACCUUGUAGAAAUACAGGGGUGCCCGAAAGGGAGCAGUGAGACAGGUGGUGCAUGGCUGUCGUCAGCUCGUGUCGUGAGAUGUUGGGUUAAGUCCCGCAACGAGCGCAACCCUCGAUGUUAGUUACCAUCAUUAAGUUGGGGACUCUAACGUGACUGCCGGUGAUAAGCCGGAGGAAGGUGAGGACGACGUCAAGUCAUCAUGCCCCUUACGUCUUGGGCUACACACGUCCUACAAUGGUAUAGACAAAGGGCAGCAAGCUAGCGAUAGUGAGCGAAUCCCAUAAACUAUAUCUCAGUUCGGAUUGCAGGCUGCAACUCGCCUGCAUGAAGUUGGAAUCGCUAGUAACCGUAGAUCAGCACGCUACGGUGAAUACGUUCCCGGGCCUUGUACACACCGCCCGUCACACCACGAAAGUUUGUCAUACCCGAAACCGGUGAGCUAACCGCAAGGAGGCAGCCGUCUAAGGUAGGGCCGAUGAUUGGGGUGAAGUCGUAACAAGGUAACCAAGGG